rnacentral:tRNA from 2 species
AAGGGAGACCUAAUUCAGGUAGUAGACGAAAAAAAAGUAGUCGCUACCAAGAAUCAAUCCCAAAAGGUCGGAGCGAGGCAAAAUUGGCUUUCAAACUAGGUUCUGGGUUCACACAAGACCUGAAUCAGGAACAAGGGCUAUUAGCUCAGGUGGUUAGAGCGCACCCCUGAUAAGGGUGAGGUCCCUGGUUCGAGUCCAGGAUGGCCCACCUGUACAGGUGGCAAAAAGAAAGAAAAGAAGCGAGGAAUCAGCACCUUAUCUUACUUACAUAGUAAGAGAGAAUGCUGGCUCUGAGUUCAGAGUCCAGAGGAACCUUGAAAACUGCAUAGAGCUAGGUGAAAAAGCCAAAAAAGAAGACCGCAA